CGGAAUCACUGGGCUUAAAGCGUGUGUAGGCGGGUCGUUAAGUGCCUUGUGAAAUCCCAUCGCUCACCGAUGGAACUGCUUGGCAUACUGGCGAUCUUGAGCCACUUAGGGGCAACCGGAACAAACGGUGGAGCGGUGAAAUGCGUAGAUAUCGUUUGGAACGCCAACGGUGAAAACAGGUUGCUGGGAGUGUGCUGACGCUGAGACACGAAAGCCAGGGGAGCGAACGGG
rnacentral:rRNA from 1 species